rnacentral:lncRNA from 1 species
CUGUACAGUUUUUGGACAGAAAUUUUCUCUAUAUCUCGAAGGUUCUCGCUGUUACGCGAGCCAUGCUCCGUAAGUAAAGUUUAUGUGAUGCCCCUGUGAAGUUCUGAGUUCACCCUGUAUAUCUGUACAGAAAAGAAGUCGGAAAACUAGUUUGAGAAACUGUAUACGGACUUCCUACGCAUGCGCAAGAUUCCUACGUUGGAGCAGACAGAUUCUAUUCGUAUUACUUAGUUAUAAACCGUUUAAGUGUAUUGAUAAUGUAAACUGUGCUUAUAAUUCUGGGAUCACUGCGAUUGAAGUCUUCACGAAUAAAGAAUCGGAACUUAUCCUGCUUGUCUUUUAUUAUGGAGAGUGGUCAGAAGAUGAAGUCUUACAGUCCAAUCCUGAGAAAUACCUCACAGUACUUAUAAAGCUUUCAUAAGGUCUUUAGGAAAAACGCGCAGUCGCGUAACA